rnacentral:rRNA from 1 species
UACGUAGGGGGCUAGCGUUGUUCGGGAUUACUGGGCGUAAAGCGCACGUAGGCGGCUUUGUAAGUUAGAGGUGAAAGCCCGGGGCUCAACUCCGGAAUUGCCUUUAAGACUGCAUCGCUAGAAUUGUGGAGAGGUAAGUGGAAUUCCGAGUGUAGAGGUGAAAUUCGUAGAUAUUCGGAAGAACACCAGUGGCGAAGGCGACUUACUGGACACAUAUUGACGCUGAGGUGCGAAAGCGUGGGGAGCAAACAGG